rnacentral:sRNA from 1 species
CUUUAACAAUCUGGAACAAGCUGAAAAAUUGAAAACAAAUCAAUAUAUCAACAACGAGGUAUAUUGAUGAGUCUCUCAAAAUCUCAAACUUUGAAUGUGUUUUGACAUCAAAGU